rnacentral:tRNA from 1 species
GGCAGCGUGGCUCAGUGGAAAGAGCGCCGGCUUGAGCGUCCGAGGUCAAGGGUUCGCAUCCCGGCUCUGCCA